AUGACGCUGGCGGCGGCCUAACACAUGCAAGUCGCAGCGGUAACAGGAAGAAAGCUUGCUUUCUUUGCUGACGAGCGGCGGACGGGUGAGUAAUGCCUGGGAAUAUGCCUUAGUGUGGGGGAUAACUAUUGGAAACGAUAGCUAAUACCGCAUAACGUCUUCGGACCAAAGAGGGGGACCUUCGGGCCUCUCGCGCUAAGAUUAGCCCAGGUGGGAUUAGCUAGUUGGUGAGGUAAAGGCUCACCAAGGCAACGAUCCCUAGCUGGUCUGAGAGGAUGAUCAGCCACACUGGAACUGANACACGGUCCANACUCCUACGGGAGGCANCANUGGGGAAUAUUGCACAAUGGGGGAAACCCUGAUGCAGCCAUGCCGCGUGUAUGAAGAAGGCCUUCGGGUUGUAAAGUACUUUCAGUCGUGAGGAAGACAUUGUAGUUAAUAGCUGCANNGUUUGACGUUAGCGACAGAAGAAGCACCGGCUAACUCCGUGCCAGCAGCCGCGGUAAUACGGAGGGUGCGAGCGUUAAUCGGAAUUACUGGGCGUAAAGCGCANGCAGGCGGUCUGUUAAGCAAGAUGUGAAAGCCCGGGGCUCAACCUCGGAACCGCAUUUUGAACUGGCAGACUAGAGUCUUGUAGAGGGGGGUAGAAUUUCNGGUGUAGCGGUGAAAUGCGUAGAGAUCUGAAGGAAUACCGGUGGCGAAGCGGCCCCCUGGACAAAGACUGACGCUCAGAUGCGAA
rnacentral:rRNA from 1 species